rnacentral:rRNA from 1 species
AUACGUAGGUGACAAGCGUUAUCCGGAUUUACUGGGCGUAAAGGGCGUGUAGGCGGUCUUGCAAGUCAGAAGUGAAAUUCCUGAGCUCAACUCGGGCGCUGCUUCUGAAACUGCAGGACUUGAGUGCUGGAGGGGAUAGCGGAAUUCCUAGUGGAGCGGUAAAAUGCGCAGAUAUUAGGAAGAACACCGGUGGCGAAGGAGGCUAUAGGGACAGUAACUGACGCUGAGGCGCGAAAGCGUGGGGAGCAAACAGGAUUAGAUACCCUGGGAUUCCACGCCGUAAACGAUGAAUACUAGGUGUAGGGGGUAUCGACUCCCUCUGUGCCGCAGUUAACACAAUAAGUAUUCCGACUGGGGAGUACGGCCGCAAGGUUGAAACUCAAAUGAAUUGACGGGG